rnacentral:snRNA from 14 species
GGAUGUGAGGGCGAUCUGGCUGUGACAUCUGUCACUCCAUUGAUCACCAGGAUUGAUUCACUGAUCUGGCUGGCUAGGCAGGUGUCCCCUUCCUCUUUCACUGCUCCACAUGCGUCCCUCCCUAAGCUACGCAUUCAUACAGGCGGUCAUGGGAAUACGGUUGCUGCCCUCCCCUGCUAGAACCUCCAAACAAGCUCAGGGUCCACCUGUAGGAGAAUGUAGGGUAGUCAGGCUUCCGAGACUGCAGACACAUGAAAGUGAGGUGCUGCACGUGGCAGUUCGCCAUUCUUU